rnacentral:tRNA from 2 species
UUCGUGAGUGGCUGAUCGCGGCUGAAGCCGCUCCUACAGGGAGCGGGGUAGCCCGGAUGCAAUCCGGGGCCGCGUUCAGGAGGCGGUCAGGCGG